AUUGAACGCUGGCGGCAGGCCUAACACAUGCAAGUCGAGCGUGAAAGUCCUUCGGGAUGAGUAAAGCGGCGGACGGGUGAGUAACGCGUAGGAAUCUACCUGAUAGUGGGGGAUAACGUCCCGAAAGGGGCGCUAAUACCGCAUACGUUCUGAGGAAGAAAGCAGGGGAUCGCAAGACCCUGCGCUAUCAGAUGAGCCUGCGUCCGAUUAGCUAGUUGGUGGGGUAAAGGCCUACCAAGGCGACGAUCGGUAACUGGUCUGAGAGGAUGAUCAGUCACACUGGAACUGAGACACGGUCCAGACUCCUACGGGAGGCAGCAGUGGGGAAUAUUGGACAAUGGGGGCAACCCUGAUCCAGCCAUGCCGCGUGUGUGAAGAAGGCCUUCGGGUUGUAAAGCACUUUAAGCGGGGAGGAAGGCUCGGCAGCUAAUACCUGUCGGGAUUGACGUUACCCGCAGAAUAAGCACCGGCAAACUUCGUGCCAGCCGCCGCCGUAA
rnacentral:rRNA from 1 species